rnacentral:tRNA from 1 species
GCAAUGGUAGCUCAAGUAUAGAGCAUUGGUCUUGUAAAUCAAAGGUUGAAUAACAAAAUUAUUCCUAUUGCU